rnacentral:miRNA from 2 species
AGGGAGCGCAGGGCAGGGUUUCC